rnacentral:rRNA from 1 species
UACGUAGGGGGCGAGCGUUGUCCGGAUUUACUGGGCGUAAAGGGUGAGUAGGCGGUUAUAUAUGUCAGGUGUAAAAAGCUAUGGCUUAACCAUAGUAAGCACUUGAAACUGUAUGACUUGAGUGCAGGAGAGGUAAGCGGAAUUCCUAGUGUAGCGGUGAAAUGCGUAGAUAUUAGGAGGAACACCGGUGGCGAAGGCGGCUUACUGGACUGUAACUGACGCUGAGUCACGAAAGCGUGGGUAGCAAACA